CCUACGGGCGGCUGCAGUGGGGAAUAUUGCACAAUGGGGGAAACCCUGAUGCAGCGACGCCGCGUGAGUGAAGAAGUAUUUCGGUAUGUAAAGCUCUAUCAGCAGGGAAGAAAAUGACGGUACCUGACUAAGAAGCCCCGGCUAACUACGUGCCAGCAGCCGCGGUAAUACGUAGGGGGCAAGCGUUAUCCGGAUUUACUGGGUGUAAAGGGAGCGUAGACGGUGCAGCAAGUCUGAUGUGAAAGGUCGGGGCCCAACCCCGGGACUGCAUUGGAAACUGUUGAACUGGAGUACAGGAGAGGUAAGCGGAAUUCCUAGUGUAGCGGUGAAAUGCGUAGAUAUUAGGAGGAACCCCGAUUGCGAAGGCAGCUUGCUGCAGCGGAACUGACGCUGAUGCUCGAAAGCGCGGGUAUCGAACAGGAUUAGAUACCCUUGUAGUC
rnacentral:rRNA from 1 species